AGAGUUUGAUCCUGGCUCAGGAUGAACGCUAGCUACAGGCUUAACACAUGCAAGUCGAGGGGCAGCAUGUUGGUUGCUUGCAACCAAUGAUGGCGACCGGCGCACGGGUGAGUAACGCGUAUCCAACCUACCCUUGUCCAUCGGAUAACCCGUCGAAAGGCGGCCUAACACGAUAUGCGGUUCUCAGCAGGCAUCUAACGAGAACGAAAUGUGAAGGAGAAGGAUGGGGGAUGCGUCUGAUUAGCUUGUGGUGGGUAACGGCCACAAGGCGACGAUCAGUAGGGGUUCUGAGAGGAAGGUCCCCCACAUUGGAACUGAGACACGGUCCAAACUCCUACGGGAGCA
rnacentral:rRNA from 1 species